rnacentral:rRNA from 1 species
UACGAAGGGGGCGAGCGUUGUUCGGAAUUACUGGGCGUAAAGGGCGCGCAGGCGGCUCUGAAAGUCAGAUGUGAAAGCCCCGGGCUUAACCUGGGAACUGCAUUUGAUACUCUAGAGCUUGAGUACGGGAGAGGAGAGUGGAAUUCCCAGUGUAGAGGUGAAAUUCGUAGAUAUUGGGAAGAACACCGGUGGCGAAGGCGGCUCACUGGCGCGUAACUGACGCUCAUGCACGACAGCGUGGGGAUCAAACAGG